UUGUUUUCCUCUCUAUUUUCCAUACUCAUCAAACGCCUGUGGUGAUGACUACCCACUGCUCCGACGUACAAGGACUUAACAACGCCGAUAAAAGAAGACCUAAUUCUGUUCUUCCUGUGGUUUAGUUCUGAUUAUUUUUGCAGGAACAAUUUUUGCUUCGGGUGUUUUUAUUGAUAUAAGGGUUAAUUGACGUAUAGUUCCAUUACUAUAUGAAAAAUCAUGGGAAAAGAUCUAGGGAAGGUGAUGAAUUCUCUCAGUUUGUUAUUUGAUAUUCUAGUCCAUAUCCGUUUUCUACCAAUGUUGGUUUUAAUCGAAUACUUCUAUUUCCAGUGAUCAUUAAGUUUGUGUUUAAAUAUUGUUAUCUGAAUCUGAUGGGAAUAUGAUUAUUGAUUUUAUUUUAUUUUCUAAUUAUUGUUUGUUUAGUAAUGCUUUUAAUUUAUUGUGAUUUUCCAUAUUUUUUGGAUUAUAUGAAAGCUUUCAUUUAGGAAACCUUGGAAGCACACUGCAAUUCUUGAAAAGGCCAAGCAAUUUAUCAGUUAGUACCUCUUUUCAGUUUUUAUAAUAGUGUUGCGAAUGAAAUCACCUUCUAAAUAGCAUACAAAAUGUCUAUUCUUAUUUGAAAAUGUUGUUUGCUCUUGAGGUCGCAAAAAUAAUGUGACCAUCGAUAUCCAUCCGAAAUUCAACUGUGUUACUAUUCAAAAAAAAAAAAAAAAAAAAAACAAUCAUUGCAGCGGAGACACGGUUCUUUGACGAUGGUCUUGAACCAUAUUUAGAAGUGGUAUCUAUAUAUUAUAAAAAGAGGUGGUGUUCGUGUAAACUGACAAAUCUGCUACCUAUUUGCUUAAGUUUGCUAAUGAUGUUUUUUCGUGCAACUAAUCCAUUCUCGGAAUCAAGGAUUAGUUAACUUUAAGAAAGUUCUAUUUCCAAACAGAAAAGUUGAUGCAGGUCAUAAGUUUUUAGUCUUGUAUCUUCACAUAUCCUCAUUGUUCUCCUCAAAGUCACGUUUAGAUUUUGUUAUCCUUGGUCGCACCAUAUAUUGCAGUUUCAUAUCAACUAUUGUGGGGUUUUCUAAUAAUAAGAAAUGUUGUCAUAGUUGCAGCUUCUGUGACGUGCAGUGUUGCAACCAGGAAGUAGGCGGUCCUGUAAAGGUGCAGUUGGUUUAUGCAUAAUGAGGUUGAUGCAUUCGGAGAAAUUGGGAACUUUGUUGACAUGAGGUAGAUGCACUUGGAGCUUACUUAUCUCAGAAUCAUUUAUUGUGAUGAAUCCUUAAAAACAAGCCUGAAUGCUAGGGAUUAUGCAACCUCCAGCAGGACUGACUACAGCUCAAUCCUUAUGGUGCGAAUUUGUAAAUUAGAUUAUAGAUUGUCUGCUGAAAAGAUUACUUGACCAUACUAUACGCUUCCACGAAAAAACAUUGUUUGGCUGCAAUGUCUCUUGCAUUUUAGCUCUCAACUAAAAAAAAAAACUUAUAAUUGGUCCUUGGCCAAGUUUGCCAUGUAUGUAUUCAGUGUCUUUAAAUCCAAACUAUGAGAUAUUGGCCCACUUAAAAUGUUGCUCUAGUUGCUGAUUUUAUUCAGUGUGGCAACUGUUUGCGCAACCAUGGGCCCUUCUAUAUCAUACAGAGGAAACUUGAAGAUGCCAUAGCUGCUACGAGCAAUGAUAUCUCUCUCCCAUUUGAAUUUCUAAUAUGUUUUCUAUUAAAAUUUGUGGAUUAUACGUUUAAGU